rnacentral:sRNA from 12 species
CUAGCAUAUUAUUUGGAGAAUUAUUUUCCUAAAAUAUUUUUAUGAAAAAUAGUAUCUUGGGCUACACGCUUAUACAUAAUGCAACGUUAUUGCUAUAAAAUACAACAGCGAUAGUCAGUAGCUAUAAAAGGUGUGUGGGAAACCCUUUCGCGAAUACUAAAGUUGUGGUGAAGAAAAAUUGUGGAUAAGCUAGCUGGU